ensembl:lncRNA
AGUGUAUAAUAUAUAUCAGAUUAUACAAUAAUCCAAUUAAAUAAUCAUAUAUACUGCAUGUAUGUUUGUAUCAAUAUUUGACAUAGAUGCUGCAGUUAUUAAAGAAAAGGUGAAAUCAGCCCCUGUAAAGAAAGGUAAAAAUGUUUUCAAAUCUGUGGUUAAUAUGUAAUUUGAUAGUGCUUGAUAGAGGCUGAAAGUCACUAUUUUACUGAGAAGCUGAAUUUAGCAGUGAGAAGACCAAACCAGCUCUUGCAAAAAAAUAAUGAAAUGGCCCAAUUCUUUAGAUUCAUUUUGUGUCUUCUCCAAUGAUUGUUUUAGAAGCUGAAAUUCACAAAGAAAACGCCAAAGCAGCUUCAUCAAAGAAAGGUAUGGAUAACUUUUUUCUUUAGACUUGAAACAAAAAACGCUAGUCUUACUCUAAAUAGAUGUCUGCCACAGAGUGUGCUUCAUUUCUCUCUCAACCAAAUACUCAGUAUGGGUUUGAAUCAAUUGCAGUUUGAACCUUUGCUGUAUAUGUUAUCAUUCUUGUUUGAUUAGAGUCCAAGGAAACUAAGGAACAAGCCAAACCAGAGCCUUCAAAAGAAGGUACAGAUAGGAUGUUUUUUUCUGGCUUCAAAAUGUAUAAUGGCGCAAUUCUUGAGAUUCAUGUUGUGUCUUGUCCAAUGAUUGUUUUAGACAGUGAAGUUCCCAAAGAACAAACCAUAGCAGCUACAUCAAAGAAAGAUGCUGAAGCAAAAGAAAAGGCCAAAUUAGCUCCAGAAAAGAAAGAUGCUGCAGUUAUUAAAGAAAAGAUCAAAUCAGCUCCUGCAAAGAAAGGUAAGAAUGUGGUUAGUAUGUAAUUAGGAAUUUGUUAUAAUAUUUGUUUGCAUUGUGUUGUAUUUAUUAUAUUCACGGCAUAUUUUUUGUUACUUUCAUUGUUUAUAAAUGUUUAUAAUCUCUUCCAAAUUUGACAAAUCUAAAUUCAGAGUUAGCAAUUGAAAAUGCAAACACUACUGUAAAUAGUUCUGGAUAAGAGUGUCAGUUAAAUUACAUAUUUUGUAAAUGUAAUAUAAAGAUUGAGGUGAAAACAAC